UACGGGGGGAGCAAGCGUUGUUCGGAUUUACUGGGCGUAAAGGGCGCGUAGGCGGCGCAACAAGUCACUUGUGAAAUCUCCGGGCUUAACCCGGAGCGGCCAAGUGAUACUGUCGUGCUAGAGUGCGGAAGGGGCUACUGGAAUUCUCGGUGUAGCGGUGAAAUGCGUAGAUAUCGAGAGGAACACCUGCGGCGAAGGCGGGUAGCUGGGCCGACACUGACGCUGAAGCGCGAAAGCUAGGGGAGCGAACGGG
rnacentral:rRNA from 1 species